GUCUACGGCCAUACUACCCCUGAACACGCCCAAUCUCGUCUGAUCUCGGAAGCUAAACAGGGUCGGGCCUGGUUAGUACUUGGAUGGGAGAACAUUUGAAGGCACACAUUUUAUAAGUU
ensembl:rRNA 5S_rRNA 5S ribosomal RNA